GACGAACGCUGGCGGCGUGCUUAACACAUGCAAGUCGAACGCUGAAGCCCAGCUUGCUGGGUGGAUGAGUGGCGAACGGGUGAGUAACACGUGAGUAACCUGCCCCCUUCUUUGGGAUAACGCCCGGAAACGGGUGCUAAUACUGGAUAUUCACUGGCCUUCGCAUGGGGGUUGGUGGAAAGGUUUUUUCUGGUGGGGGAUGGGCUCGCGGCCUAUCAGCUUGUUGGUGGGGUGAUGGCCUACCAAGGCUUUGACGGGUAGCCGGCCUGAGAGGGUGACCGGUCACAUUGGGACUGAGAUACGGCCCAGACUCCUACGGGAGGCAGCAGUGGGGAAUAUUGCACAAUGGGCGAAAGCCUGAUGCAGCGACGCCGCGUGAGGGAUGACGGCCUUCGGGUUGUAAACCUCUUUCGCUCAUGGUCAAGCCGCAACACUUGGUUGUGGUGAGGGUAGUGGGUAAAGAAGCGCCGGCUAACUACGUGCCAGCAGCCGCGGUAAUACGUAGGGCGCGAGCGUUGUCCGGAAUUAUUGGGCGUAAAGGGCUUGUAGGCGGUUGGUCGCGUCUGCCGUGAAAUCCUCUGGCUUAACUGGGGGCGUGCGGUGGGUACGGGCUGACUUGAGUGCGGUAGGGGAGACUGGAACUCCUGGUGUAGCGGUGGAAUGCGCAGAUAUCAGGAAGAACACCGGUGGCGAAGGCGGGUCUCUGGGCCGUUACUGACGCUGAGGAGCGAAAGCGUGGGGAGCGAACAGG
rnacentral:rRNA from 1 species